AUAAGUGGCUUGGGGCCUACCAUUAAUCAUUCACGAAUAUCAAAAAUAAUAUUCAAUUAGCAAUGUGCUCUGGGACACUUGAAUAUUACUAAAUAUGACAUGUUUCUGGUGACUUUAAAUAGUAUACAAGUGACACAUUCAACUUCAGAGAUACAGAUAAUAUUGGGAUUCCUGACAAGUACUCAACCUGUGAUUGCAAGUGGAGAGAGUGACAAGGGGUAAACCAAUUUUGAAGUGGAUAGAGGAGGGAGAAGGCGCCAUUCUGUAUAAGGAGCCCAAGUGAAGAGAACCAUGUCUGAGUCACAGUGUCUAAAGUC